GACGAACGCUGGCGGCGUGCCUAAUACAUGCAAGUCGAGCGGAACUGGGGGAGCUUGCUCCUUCCAGUUUAGCGGCGGACGGGUGAGCAACACGUGGGCAACCUGCCCUGCAGAUCGGGAUAACUCCGGGAAACCGGUGCUAAUACCGAAUAGUUUGGCGCCUCUCCUGAGGCGCUACGGAAAGACGGUUUCGGCUGUCACUGCAGGAUGGGCCCGCGGAGCAUUAGCUAGUUGGUGGGGUAACGGCCCACCAAGGCGACGAUGCGUAGCCGACCUGAGAGGGUGACCGGCCACACUGGGACUGAGACACGGCCCAGACUCCUACGGGAGGCAGCAGUAGGGAAUCUUCCGCAAUGGACGCAAGUCUGACGGAGCAACGCCGCGUGAGUGACGAAGGUUUCCGGAUCGUAAAACUCUGUUGUGAGGGAAGAACACGUACCAACUAACUAUUGGUACCUUGACGGUACCUCACCAGAAAGCCACGGCUAACUACGUGCCAGCCGCCGCAGUAA
rnacentral:rRNA from 1 species